rnacentral:lncRNA from 1 species
AAGGUACAACAAGAUAGUCAUAUGAUGGAUGAUAAUUCUAAUAUAUAAUAGACACCAGGCAUAUGAUGCCUCCAAUGCCUAUUGAAAUAUUGGACUCAUUAUCAUGCACCUUAAUGGGAGACAAUAAUUUAGUUAUCUCCAUAACUAGCUCAUUUUAUGGACCUAAUAAUUUAAAAAAAUUGAUUAAUUUAUUUAAUAAGACAUCAAUCAAUCUACAAAUCAUAAAUCU